rnacentral:rRNA from 1 species
CGAAGCCCGACGAUCUAUCCAUGGCCAGGUUGAAACGCGGGUAAUACCGCGCGGAGGACCGAACCCACCUUAGUUGAAAAUAAGGGGGAUGAGCUGUGGAUCGGAGUGAAAGGCUAAUCAAGUCGGGGAAUAGCUGGUUCUCCUCGAAAUAUAUUGAGGUAUAGCCUCGGAUGAAUACCCGCGGGGGUAGAGCACUGAAUGGGCUAGGGGACCUACCAGUCUACCAAACCCAAUCAAACUCCGAAUACCGCGGAGUAGUGUCCGGGAGUCAGGCAGCGGGAGAUAAGUUCCGUUGCCGAGAGGGAAAGAGCCCAGACCGUCAGCUAAGGUCCCAAAGUCUGUGCUUAGUGUCAAAGGAUGUGGAGGCGCAUUGACAGCCAGGAGGUUGGCUUAGAAGCAGCCAUCCUUUAAAGAAAGCGUAAUAGCUCACUGGUCAAGCGAAUCCGCGCCGAAAAUAUAACGGGGCUCAAGCACAGCACCGAAGCUACGGACUCAGCGCAAGCUGAGUGGUAGAGGAGUACUCUCAGG